UUACUCAAACCUGCUAACUGCAUAAGGCAGUGCGAUUAACAAUUAGACACAAUAACCAUUAACUAAAACCCUCCAAGCUUGCAUCAUAUCCCAUUCUAAUUUUUCUACCUGUUUCUUUUUGGUUUUUCCUGGGAAAUGGGUAUUAUGUCGUCGGAAACGGCGUCGUUUUCAUUUCCAUCCUUUCUAGCCGACCACGAAGCGGGACCGACGAGUGCCUUUGGUUCAAUUUCCCCAGUGUUUGACUUUCAUGAAGUUCGCGGUCCGUUUGUUUCCUGAGAAAUCGCGGGAAAAUUGAGAGAACUCCAAAAACCUCAUUACAACACGUGGACUAAAGAUAUCCGCUUUGCACCAAAAAAAGCUAGUGGUGGGGAGGCAAUUGUCUGGCCUUCAAUGGGAGUAAGCUAAAGACCCCAAGACCCCAUAUGUUUGGAUGGUGGGAGAUGGCUUUCUAUAAUUGAUCAAACCUAUCAUAAUUAAGUCAUGGUUAACUAAUUAUUUUGUGUACCAUAUUCCGUAUAAACCUCUUUUGAUGAUAAUUAGGCAUAAGCUAAUGGGGUCUAAUUCUAAAGGUGAAAACCCUUUUUCCCCCCUUCCCUAAUAGGAGAAACUGGUGAUUAGUCAAAACCAGAUCAGCCAUUGUGAUUGCAAGAUUAGAAUGAUUACGAAAAUACAGAAUUUUUCAUGUGGGUCUCGUUU